AGUGAACGCUGGCGGCGUGGAUUAGGCAUGCAAGUCGAACGAUCCCGCAAGGGAUAGUGGCAAAAGGGUGAGUAACACGCGAGCAAUCUACCUUCGAGUGGGGAAUAACGCUGGGAAACCGGCGCUAAAACCGCAUAAGACCACGGUUUGGCAUCAAACCGAGGUAAAAGUGGGGACCGCAAGGCCUACUGCUUGAAGAUGGGCUCACGUCCUAUCAGCUUGUUGGCGGGGUAAUGGCCCACCAAGGCUUUUGACGGGUAGCUGGUCUGAGAGGAUGGUCAGCCACAUUGGGACUGAGACACUGCCCAGACUCCUACGGGUGGCAG
rnacentral:rRNA from 1 species